rnacentral:rRNA from 1 species
GGAUCAUUACUGAAAAACUACUUAGUUUUUUAUAUCCCAUUGUUUACCUACCCUGUUGCUUCCACUGGACAUGUUUUUACCUUGUGUGGAACCUUUGGUUUGUGUGAAUCACACAUGCCAGGGAGUUGCCAGUGGCAAGACCAUUUACCAAAACUUGCUUAAAACAAACUGUCUGAAUUUUUUGCUUCAAUGAAAUAAAACUUUCAACAACGGAUCUCUAGGCUCUUGCAUCGAUGAAGAACGCAGUGAAAUGCGAUAAGUAAUGUGAAUUGCAGAAUCUCGUGAAUCAUCGAAUCUUUGAACGCACAUUGCGCCCUAUGGUAUUCCGUAGGGCAUGCCUGUCUGAGCGUCAGCUCCCCCCCACUCAAGUAUCCUUUUUGUGAUGUUUGGAUUGCUUUGGAGAGGUAGCUUUUAUUACAGAGUCGCCCUUCAGAAAUUCAUAGGCAGUAUGGUUUGCACUUGAACCAGACGUAAUAAUAAUAAAAUCGUUUGUUUGGGUAGAAUUGUACUUGCCUUAACCCACCCACCCAUUAAACUCUGGGUGACCUCAGAUCAGGUAGGGAUACCCGCUGAACUUAAGCAU